AAACGCGAUAGCGAUCCGAAAUGCCUUCGACAACCACUAAAUUGUUGCACUGCACCUACCCACCCUCACUAGCAACCACUCAGGUGGCUUAGACUGAAUAGAAGUCUAUCGACCCAACGGAGCGUUUAUCAUUUUAACAGCCGGCAAUUCGGGGAUUGAUUGCAAGCGAUUUAAACAGCCAAGCAAUUUCCUUCCCCUUCCUCAUGAAACAACUCACAUACCUGUUAAUUCCAAUGCCCAACCGAACAGUCAGUACUCGAUACGAAGACCUGUCUCUAACGAACAGGAAACGAAAAACCAGAUUUCAAAAUUGAUGUGAAUUUGAAGCGAAAAAUACAAUUCAUUCUUAGUAGCUGACUGAAGAGUCUAAGGCCCUGAAAGCGACUGGAAGGAGCAUCAGAGAAACUUGCUGCUCCUCGAGUGGGCAUUUGGCAGGUGCGAAACUGACAGACAUCCUCUGGGAGAAGGAGACUGAGAGCAGGAGGGUUGGGGAGACUGUUUAAAGAAUUUUCAUGCGAAAGCCAAAAUCAGUUGUGGCAAAGGUGUGAGUCUCUCGUAACCACGAAGCAGCACCAAUUGGUUUUCCAUGCUGAGCGAAAGGACUACCCGCAAGGGGCGAGAUUGUACUGCAUUUAUGCCCAUUGUGCGAAAGACUUCCAUUCUGUUGCCUCUUUUCUGUUGAGAAUUCUCAAUUGUGAACGGCAUUGGCAUUGAGCCUUGACAGGAGGAUUUCUGCUUUCAAUUUGACUCAGAAGAGCAUACAAUAAACGGAUUUGCGGAUAAUAAGCAUAUAGAGGAUAAGAAGGCACAACAGGUUGGCCAGGUGAUUUAUAGAUAUGUUGCGAAUUUUCACACAGCUUGUUGUAUGUUGAAAAUCUGGUGAUUACCUAUGUAUAGUUAAUUAGCUUAGCUCUGAUUCAUAUUAAAUUUUAAAUUUGAGUAA